ncrna:unclassified sequences cow-rumen-4 RNA
GUAGAAUAUGAGGGUAAGGAACCUCAUUUCUAAAUAAAAUUUCAUAACAUAGGGAGGUUAUGA